GGAUCGAGUCUUUGACGCAGUUGCGCCCGAAGCCAUCUGAGGGCACGCCUGCCUGGGUGUCACACAUCGUUACCCUCACGCAAACGUCCCGAGUCGGCCGUUGCGUGGUAGGGUGUAUGCUGGCCUCCCGCGAGCGCCGUCUCGUGGUUGGUUGAAAAGCGGGUUCGUGGCCGAGCGCGCCGUGAUAGAAUGGUGGACGGGCAACGCUCGAGACCGAUCACGUGCGGCCCGGUCGGGUAAGGACCGUCCGACCCCCGUGCGUCCCUGGACGCUCCCGGCGAGACCUCAGGUCAGGCGGGACCACCCGCUGAGUUUAAGCAUAUCAAUAAGCGGAGGAA
rnacentral:rRNA from 1 species